CAUCGCUUGACGGAGCGCGAGUAAUCCCUCGCUGAGAUCACUUAAAAGCAUUUGAUGUUUUUGAGAGUGAGUACCGUUGAACCUGAUCAGGUUAAAACCUGCGUAGGAAUCAAGCCAGUCUAAAAA
rnacentral:ncRNA from 2 species